rnacentral:rRNA from 1 species
AUCUCUGUAGAGUCUGCAUAUCAAUAAGCGGAGGAAAAGAAACUAACAAGGAUUCCCUUAGUAACGGCGAGUGAAGCGGGAAGAGCUCAAAUUUGAAAUCUUCAAGGUUUUACCUUGACGAAUUGUAGUUUAAAGAAGUGUUUUCUGUUGAAGUUUUGGUAAAAGUUCUUUGGAAUAGGACAUCAUAGAGGGUGAGAAUCCCGUAUUUGACCGUUACUUUCAGCUGUGUGAUACACUUUCAAAGAGUCGGAUUGUUUGGGAAUGCAGUCCAAAAUGGGUGGUAAAUUUCAUCUAAAGCUAAAUAUUGGCGAGAGACCGAUAGCGAACAAGUACCGUGAGGGAAAGAUGAAAAGAACUUUGAAAAGAGAGUUAAACAGUACGUGAAAUUGUCAAAAGGGAAGCGUUUGACACCAGUGUUGUUUUCUCGAAAAUCAAUUAAAAAAGGCAGGAUCUUGUGUUGUAUUGACUUUAUCAGCUUUCUGCACUCUUUUCUUGUCUUUUUUUAAUGCACUUUUCGUUUAACAAGUCAACAUCAAUUUCUUUUGUUGUAAAAGGGUCAUUGGAAGGUGGCUUUCUUUUCGGAGAAAGUGUUUAUAGCCUUUGGCCUCUGCAAUCGGAGAGAUUGAGGUCUGCAGCGUAGAUCCUUCGGGGUUAGAUACAUUUGUGCUAAGUUAUAGCCUUUCAUAGACAACUUGUUGACUAUGAUCAGUCAUGUAGCUUACUCGCUUGUGCUAUUUUACCUACGCUUAGGAUGUUGAAGAUGUAGCACAUCAU